rnacentral:rRNA from 1 species
AUUGAACGCUGGCGGCAGGCCUAACACAUGCAAGUCGAGCGAGCGGCGGACGGGUGAGUAAUGUAUGGGGACUGCCCGAAAGAGGGGGAAAACUACUGGAAACGGUAGCUAAUACCGCAUACUAUCGGAUAACCCAUAUGGGAUUAGCUAGUAGGUGAGGUAAUGGCGCACCUAGGCGACGAUCCCUAGCUGGUCUGAGAGGCUGAUCAUCCACACGGGGACUGAGACACGGCCCAGACUCCUACGGAGGCGGCGGUGGGUAAUUUUGCACAAGGGGCGCAAGCCUGAUGCAGCCAGGCCGCGUGUAGGAAGAGGGCCCUAGGGUUGUAAAGUACUUUCAGUCAGGAGGCGGUACCGACAGAGGAAGCACCGGCUAACUCCGUGCCAGCCGCCGCGGUAAUAC